ACUCAAAGGAAUUGACGGGGACUUGCACAAGCAGUGGAUUAUGUGGUUUAAUUCGAUGGUAAACGAAGAACCUUACCAGGGUUAGAAAUCCUAGUGAAAGCCCAAGGAAACUUGGGGCCUCGCAAGACUCUAGGACAGGUGAUGCAUGGCCGUCGUCAGUUCGUGGUUUGAAUUGUACCCUUAAGUGGGCUAACGAACGCAACCCUCGUUGUGUGUUACAAGUGUCACACGAGACCGCCCCCGCUUUUGAUCAUAAAAUUUUUGUGAGCAAAAGCGGGGGAGGAAGGAGAGGAUGACGCCAGGUCAGCAUGUCCCUCUGAUACCCUGGGCUACACACAUAAUACAAUGACCAUUACAACGCGAUGCGACGCCGCGAGGCUGAGCAAAUCGUAUAAAAAUGGCCUCAGUUCGGAUUGGAGUCUGCAACUCGACUCCAUGAAGCUGGAAUUGCUAGUAAUCACAGGUCAGCUAAACUGUGGUGAAUACGUUCUCAAGUCUUGUACACACCGCCCGU
rnacentral:rRNA from 1 species